rnacentral:rRNA from 1 species
GAUGAACGCUGGCGGCGUGCCUAAUACAUGCAAGUCGAGCGAACAGACGAGGAGCUUGCUCCUCUGACGUUAGCGGCGGACGGGUGAGUAACACGUGGAUAACCUACCUAUAAGACUGGGAUAACUUCGGGAAACCGGAGCUAAUACCGGAUAAUAUAUUGAACCGCAUGGUUCAAUAGUGAAAGACGGUUUUGCUGUCACUUAUAGAUGGAUCCGCGCCGCAUUAGCUAGUUGGUAAGGUAACGGCUUACCAAGGCAACGAUGCGUAGCCGACCUGAGAGGCUGAUAGGCCACACUGGAACGGAGACACGGUCCAGACUCCUACGGGAGGCAGCAGUAGGGAAUCUUCCGCAAUGGGCGAAAGCCUGACGGAGCAACGCCGCGUGAGUGAUGAAGGUCUUCGGAUCGUAAAACUCUGUUAUUAGGGAAGAACAAAUGUGUAAGUAACUAUGCACGUCUUGACGGUACCUAAUCAGAAAGCCACGGCUAACUACGGG